AUAUCUUUUCUCUGUUCAUUCAGUACCAACGUCUGCUGUUAAUAGUGGCUUCUAUUGGACUAGGAUUCAACUCUCUCUUCUGAUUGUCUCGGUACAUGGGUCCUAAUUCUGAGCGUUGCGCUAUGUAUUUUCAUGGAGUUCAACUUUGCUUCUGGUGUCAUCUCUCUUUAACCGUUUUGGAUUUAUUUAUUUGUUUAAGUGUAAUUUCAGUUGACAUUUUAGUCGAUAAUCUCGCUUAAUAAUUGGUAGCCCACCUUUGUUGCUCAACUGUGUUUUGGUUUAUGGAUUGAGAUUUUGUUCGAAAUAUUAUUUUUGGCAAAUAUUUUGUUUUAAUAAUUCAAUUUGAGGUCAAAUUC